UGUGUGGUAGCCCAAUAGGCAGCGCCCAGUUUGUCCCUAGCGGCAUGCCGUCGAAAUGUCUCAGUCCAGUUCAACAACAACUUUCCAUGUGCGAGGACAAGCGACAUUCAAUGCAUUUUGUGUGGCCUGCCCUAGAGUAAGUCUUGGGGAAAUGCAUACUUUUCAUCUCCUAAUUUUCACCCGCUUUCUAAUAUCCCUUGCUAACGUUUAGCUAUGUAUGCACUAGGCAUACAAUUCUAGCUACAGUUUGUUCUAGCUAGCUUGCACACUUCCUUGUUAAUGUGUGUAGACUGUGUAACGUUACGUCUGUCAGCUGACAAAUAACAUCGAUAGUAAGUGGUAGGUCCACAAUUUGUUGUAGUAAGUCCAUAGUUGCCAAUUAUCCUAGGCGACCGUUUCAUAUCAUUUUUCAGACUUCUACACUGACACACGGGCUCGUCAGCAUUUGGAGACAGUUUUUCCCUAACACCUCCCAGAUGUCCCAACUCGACACAGGCCAUGGGUUUGUCUAGUUGUCUGUCUGCCCUGUCUCUCUCAGCCCUGCUCACCCUGGCCUUGAUAACUUGUUUACACCUUAGCUACCUGUCUGACCAAAAGUUGUCACUGAUAAAGUUAACUAGCAAACAACAACCAGAUGAGACACCAAUACACCUAUCAGUAAGACCUGGUUUAGAGGAAGAUCCAGCAACAAAACAGGCCGGUGAGAGGGAGAUAGUGAACCUCCAGAGGGGUAGCACCCAUCCAGCCCCCAGCCACAGAUUGCUGUGGGAAGGCCCCCAUCCAGCCAUCUCCAGUGGUCCCAGAGAGGCAGAGUGUAGGAGGGGGGCCCUGGAGAGCCGCUUUGACUGCGCCCGCGACCGAGUUCUGAGCCAGACAGAGUGUCAGGGGAGAGGGUGCUGCUAUGCCCCCCUACCUCAAGGCCUCUCUGGAGGACCCCCCUGGUGCUUCUACCCCCCGUCAUACAGCGGCUACAGGAUGGGGCCCCUCACUCCCACUUCCAGGGGCCAGGCUGCCACCCUUACGAGGCCCACUCCCUCCUACCUGCCCCGGGAUAUCUCUACGCUCCGGUUGGAGAUCCUGGAUGAGACAGAAGGCCGACUGCACCUCACGUUGAAGGAUCCGUUGUCCCGGCGAUAUGAAGUUCCUUUAUCCACUGCCCAGUCCAGGGGUAACACUGACACCCAGGACCACCAAUAUGUUACUGAGUUUCAACCCGACCCUUUUGGGAUCAUAGUGCGCCGAAAAUCCAACGGCCGUGUCCUUGUGAACACCACAGUGGCCCCGCUGCUGUAUGCUGACCAGUACCUGCAGCUGUCCACCUCCCUGGCCUCCUCACUGGUGUCUGGGCUGGGGGAACACUACACCCCCCUCAGCCUGGACCUCAAUUGGACCUCCCUUACCCUUUGGAACAGGGACAUGGCGCCCCACGGCGAUGCCAACCUUUAUGGCUCUCAUCCGUUCUACAUGGUGCAGGAGGGGGAUGGACAGGCUCACGGGGUCUUCCUGCUCAACAGUAAUGCCAUGGAGGUGGUGCUGCAGCCUAGCCCUGCUCUGACCUGGGUGGCUGUGGGAGGAAUCCUGGACCUGUACAUCUUCCUGGGCCCUGACCCUCAGAGUGUUGUCAGACAGUACCUCCAGGUUAUAGGGUACCCUAUGAUGCCUCCUUAUUGGUCACUGGGGUUCCACCUGUGUCGCUGGGGUUACCGGUCCACUAACGCAACCCGAGAGGUGGUGCGACGCAUGCACAACGCCAACUUCCCCCUGGACGUGCAGUGGAAUGACCUGGAUUAUGCAGACAAGCGUCGGGUGUUCACCUUUGACCCCCAGCACUUUGUGGACCUGCCAGACAUGGUGAAGGAGUUCCAUCAGAAGGGCAUUAAGUACAUUCUCAUCCUGGACCCUGGGAUCAGCAGCACCAGCCCCCCUGGUACUUACCCACCCUUUGAUGAGGGUCAGCGGAGAGGGGUCUUCAUCAGGAACUCUACAGGACAGACACUCAUAGGGAAGGUGUGGCCUGGUCCGACAGCGUUCCCUGACUUCACCAACCCAGAGACACAGAGCUGGUGGGAGGACUGCAUUCGGGAGUUCCACUCCAGAGUCCCGCUAGAUGGCCUGUGGAUUGAUAUGAAUGAACCAGCCAGUUUUGUGCAGGGCUCUGUGGAGGGGUGUCCUGACAGUGAUUUGGAUAGCCCCCCCUACGUGCCACCGGUGAUUGGAGGACAGCUGAACACUGGUACACUCUGCAUGUCAGCUCAGCAGAACCUGUCCACUCACUACAACCUGCAUAACCUCUAUGGGCUGACGGAGGCUAGCGCCACCCACAGUGCCCUGGUGAAGGUCCGGGGGUCGCGACCCUUCGUGCUGUCCCGCUCCUCCUUCCCUGGCAUUGGCCGUUUCUCCGGAGUCUGGACGGGAGACGUGAGGAGCGACUGGGAGCAGCUCAGAUACUCCAUCCCUGCGGUGCUGCUGUUUGGCCUGUUCGGGGUGCCCCUGGUGGGGGCGGAUGUGUGUGGGUUCAGGGGGGACACCACAGAGGAGCUGUGUGUACGCUGGACCCAGCUUGGAGCCUUCUACCCCUUCAUGAGGAACCACAACGACAAGCCCAACGCUGUGGGUCCCCAGGAGCCCUAUGUGUUUGGUCAGGAGGCCCAGACAGCCAUGCGUAGCGCGGUGAUGUUACGUUACUCUCUCCUGCCGUUCCUCUACACACUCUUCUACCACGCACACACCUCCGCAGACACUGUGGCCACGCCUCUCUUCCUCCAGUUCCCCUCGGACCCUAACUGCCAGACCAUAGACAGACAGUUCCUGUGGGGGAGUUCUCUGCUUGUCAGCCCAGUGUUAGAGCAGGGGGCAGUGGAGCUGGCUGCCUACCUCCCCCCGGGGACUUGGGCCAGCCGUUCUACAGUAAGGGUCAGUACCUGCUCCUCCCAGCGCCUCUGGACACCAUCAAUGUCCAUGUGAGAGAGGGACACAUCAUCCCACAGCAGGAGCCAGGCCUGACUACCUCAGCUUCUCGCAGUAACCCUUUCCUCCUGACGGUGGCGCUGUCUGCUGGGGGCUGGGCCUGGGGUGACCUGUUCUGGGACGACGGGGACAGUCUGGACACCUUCCAGAGAGGAGACUACUCCUAUGUUAUCUUCAUCGCUGGACAGUCCCAGGUGAUGAGUGACCCCCUGCGUCAGAACGGGGCGCUGGACGGGCUGGUGCUGGGAGGGCUGCGAGUGUUCGGGGUGCCUUCCCCACCCCGCUAUGUAUGGGCCAAUGGAAAGAAAGUGUGGGAUUUCUCUUAUCAGACUGACACCAAGGUUCUGACACUGACCAGCCUGGCCCUGCCCAUGUCAGAGGUGUUUGAAGUCCUGUGGACCUUGUGAGCUUUAUGAACUGUAUGACUCAGUGGACUCUGGCCCAGUAGACAGCUUCUCAGGUGGUUCUAGAACUCCUGAACUAGCACAUCUCUGACAAAAACCUCCACUCAAAGUUUCCCCUCAAUCACUGCUACCCUGGAUAAGACAUUGCUCUAAUAGACUCCUGGGUUUCUGAAUGGACAGACUACACUGAAGAAUUUUUGGAAAUCAUGUUUUUAUAUUCAACUGUAUUUUCAAUAAAAUGAUGUGAACUGUGUGGGUUAAAGCUCCAUCAGAUAUCUCUCCAUUUCCUUGUUGUUGCAGAUGAGUGAUUACAUGACAUUGUCUCAGGUGAGAUUCUGAGACAGUGGUGUGAAUUUGAGAAUUGUGGUCAUUCUAGAACACUAGGCCAAAAUGUAUUGUUGUUUUACUAUUUUAAUUUGUCUAUAAGAAUAUAUAAAUAUUUUUAAAAUAUAUUUCUAACCUUUUAUUUUAUUUGUUAAGCACUUUUGAAAUGCAUCACCUGUAAGAAAUGUUCUCUAUAAAUAGCAUUUGAUUAAUUGAUAAAUAUUGUGCUGAGGAGGACAGCAGUGGCUCUACACAAUUAUUUUUAUUAAUUGAACAUUAAAAUUGACCAGAAUAUGCCCAUUCUGUACUCUUCUAGUAUGAUGGUAGGCUCUGUGUUAAGUCUCAUCAAAUUACUUCCAGUGAUAUUGCCACAUUGUUACCAUUAAAGGCAAUUGAUAGCUC